UUGUUUUUUUUUUGUGUGAUUAUAUAUGGUUGGUGUUUAGUUGCUAAGGUUUGUAAUUCGUCAAUGUUUGAAUUAAGGCUUCUGAUGUUCCAGUUGAGGAUAAGCGGAGAGAUGUUAGCAGUAGAGUUGUUUGUGUUGUGGAAUUUUAAUUAUUCAAAUAAAUAGUGCCAAGUAUCGAGAGCAGAAGUCUAAUUCGAAGCGUUAGGUCAGUGUCUAAAGCCUAGUUUUCGCUUUUGGGAUCUGCGUUUUCCCCUUUUGUGCGAUUUUGUUUUCGAUGGUGUACUGUUGUUGCCGUGAGGAAUUUUCUCUUCGCUUGUUGUGUCGACGGUGCUGUAGGAUGAGGAUGAGGGGGAGGCUUUUCGUUUCGGUCCGAUCGAGGUAGAAGUCUUCGAGUCCUUUUGCGUAGCUGUGUUUGCGUCCGUGUUCGUGUUGUUGUUCGCGUUAGUGUUGUUUGAGUCGAUGUUCUGUUCCCCGUUAGUGUCCAUGUUUGGGCUCGAGUUCGCGUCAGCGUUGCUGUCGCUGUUCGAGUCCGUGUGGUUCGAGUCGGCGUUUUCGGUGUGCUUGUUCUUGCGUCGGGAUUGGAGCUGGCUUUUCAAGAAGUCACGUUCCUCAAUCACUUGCUGGAACUUUGCGAGAAUCGAAUUUAAUUUCGAGUUAAUGUGUGCAUUCAUAGCCGUUAACUGUUCUAUUUUGGCGUCGCGUUCGGCCAGUGCCGUGUCGAUUUGUUGUUGUUGCAGUGGUUGUGGUUGUGGUUGUGGUUGUGGUGGUUGUUGUUGUUGCAGUGGUUGUGGUUGUUGUGGUUGUUGCUGUGCAUUAGCCAGUCGCUUUUGGACGGCGGACUCUUGUACCUGACUGUAUAUUUUGCGCGCUUCUGGGUAGCUGAUACAGUUAUCCACCUUGAUGCGGAUAAUGUUCUGUUCGGCCAGAUAGACCGGGCAGGAGCGGUUCAGGGUAGCGUGAUCUCCUUUGCAGUUUUUGCAUCGGGGUGGGUUGUUGCAAGAUCCAUGCUCCGGCAUUGAGCAGUUCGGGCAGGCUGGAGCAGAAUUGCACCGAGCCGUGGUGUGUCCCACAAUCAAGCAUUUAAAGCAUAUCAUGGGCCGGGGGUAGUAGGGACGCGUGCGCACCGAGAUGCAGCCAACGCGCACCUCCUCCGGAACCGUGACCGAGUCGACACGUAGUAGGUAGGCGUUGGUCGGUUUCACCGCACCGUCCACCUUGCGCAUGAACCGCUUCACCUCCACGAUUUUAGUUCCCUCGAUUUGGGCCAGAAUCUCUUCGUCCGUUAGUCCGUCCAGACACGGAGUGACCAUCACACACUGUACGGUAUUGCGAGCUCGGUCAGAGGUGAUUUCCACCGGGGUACCAUCGAUCAGUUUCUUGAUCGCAAGCAGUUUGUCGAACUGCUCACGACUGCGUGUUUUCAUGAGAUAUCGCGCGCCCUGGUCCAUCGGCACGCAAGGCUCGAUGGGACCGACGAACGGCGAGAGGCUUUUCUCGAUCAAAAACGCGUUCUUCGGAAUGGCAAAACCCUUCUGGGGCGCCAAAAUCAGAUAGCGCAGUUCGCCGUGUACGUUCGCUGGAUCGAGCCAUUCGGGGGCCUGACGACCCCUUUUAUUCACUGGGGGGGGACCGUGUCCCCACCCGCCUCCACUCGGGCCCGCCAUCUUGCGGGCCUCACUGCACCAAGUCGCACCAAGACGCAAGUUUGCUGUUGUCCGUUGGCACAAAAUAAUCCCCCCACACAAGCACUAGUCUAACAGUCACCAAAAAUAACCGGUACUCACCGCUGGCAAACGGUCACGAGGCAGAAAAUCCACACUCCCUAGGCUCCCAAGCUCCCCGGGUGAUGGCGUCGGUUUGUGGCGUCGGUUGAGCAAUGGCGUCGCAGAAUACUGGGCACGGGAAAUCGCAGCGUGUUCACUCUCCGAAUGCUAGAACACAAUUGAACAGGAUUUGAUGCUUUUUUUUGGUUGGCACCACGCUUCAAGCCCUUCCCCUCAGUGCGAAUUUUCAAAAAGCCCACGCAAAGCUCCCACUCUCACCCCUCGGUCCACGCGAGAUGCAGCGAUGAUGCGCACGUGUCCUGCGCAGCACUCUCAGCCCGGCGUGAAGGUGCGAAAGAGACGACGCUAUGGAAGCAUGCAAAAAGCGCCCAGAGCUGGAAGCUUCCAAUGCUUUCGCUAUCGUCGUGGGCAAAACGCUAGGAUUGAAAACGAUCUAUGUGUAUGCAUAUUUCGAUAAAAGUGAGUAAUUCGCAUUUUACGUUCAUGUAAUUGCAGGCAUCACUAAACCGGGGAACAGUUUCUCGAUUCGACACACCUGUACAGGCCGUACUUUCGGGCGCAGUGACAGCGUACGUCAGUGUUUUGCUGUGCGGUCGGUCGCUAGCUGGAGCUUAUUGAAGGUAAACAUUGGAAAGGAAAGUUUGGAUAAGCUGCAGUGAAGUUGUGCUUGUUUCGAUGGGAAAGAUGAGGCUGUCUGAGCGAAUGGUUCAAAAUAAUCUACUCCCGUACUCGAAGGUGGUGGAUUGCUCACACGACAACGGGUGAGAAAGUGAGACAACGAAACAAGCUGCUGACGGGGCAGCAGUCGUACAAAAGGAAAUAUCUCCAUCUCUCCGUUUGGGACAGUUGCUGCGCGAAAGGACAAAGGCUGUGUAGCAGCACAAUUCCACAACGGCCCGAACGGGUGGUCGUACCGAGCGUUAUUUGUUUUAUUGACAGAAAACCUACCUCAGCGAAUGCCGAACAACAAUCUGCACCUGUACUCGAAAGUGCUGGUGGCUCACACGACAACGGGCGAGAAACGUCCCAUACCUGUGUGUCAACGGCUAGAGUGGGAAUAUCCGGUCACGCUGAACAUGUCCAGCUUAAGCUUCGGCACCGGUCCAAACGAUCAUCUACUCGUCCAGGAGCAGCAACAGCAGCAGCAGCAAGCACCACCGAAUGGGUUCAACGGUUCAACGGUCCACACACGGUAGGAAGUAAGGGACGUAUUUGCCAGAAGGAAAUCAGUGCUGUUCUUCUGGUAGAUGUAUCUUGUUGAAGAAAAGGAAAAUGUUUAUGGGAAAGGUCCCCAAAUGAGCGGUGCGUGUGUGGAGAGAGCAACAGCAAAAGAUGAACAUACAUUAUGUCAAUCCGUAUUGGUGUGAAUGUGUUCCUUGCCCACACGGGGAGGAACGCAAAAUAAAGAAGGCAAUAUGUUUAUAACGAACACACGUAAGCGUAAGGACGGUGGCGAUUGCUUGAAAGAAAAGGCCUCCUUUGAUUGCGAAACCGAACAGGAGCAAAGGAGACAAAGGAACAGUUUGGACAAGUUUGGACCGAUCGGUGGCGGUGUGUUGCGAAAGAAUGGAAGUGAGGGAGAACGGGACAGUUUCUUCGAAUGUGUUGGAUCUCUGUGGAGUUGCCGUUGGGGUCAAACGGAGGGAUCAGUGAAUCGAUGGCAGCCAGUGCGAAAAGUUGUGAUGAAGCGGAACCAAGAGUGAACCAAAGCGACCAAGAGAAGUGAAAAUUCCAACAUUUUUCUUUCAACCAUUUCCCCAAUAACCCAACAACGAGUGAGAUAUUUCAGUGGAAGAACGCCGCAUUCAACUAGUGCUGCUUCGGUUGGACUGGUUUUGAAGCAACCCGAUAUGUGCUUGACGGCCCGGUGGUAUAGUGGAGCGAACUGUUGGAUAAGAUCUGUGGAACCUAGUGAGGAAAUCUCCGCCCCGUACAGCAGCCGCGGCAAGAACCAGCCCUUUAGGACUGCCAACAGCGCUGGGCGAGGGGUGUUAUUCUGUGCCAACGUACGGAUUAUAUUUAAACGAGGUAUGGUGCGUCUUUUAAUUUCCCUGCAGUGGGGCCCGAAGGUAAGUUUUUUGUCGAAGAUAAUGCCCAGUAUGGAGGCUUGUUUGACUUCCUGUAUUUUUUGAUCUUGUAUUUUGAUUUUAGGACGGUUGCGGACACGUGUGACUCCGCUUGGUAUAUGUAAAAUUUUACUUUUUGAAGCCGCUAUAGAAUUGCCGGUCCAGUUGGUCCACUGGAAAACCUUGUUGACAGCAUGCUGUAGCUUGAGUCGUGCGGUCUUGGCGUAGUGGUGUGUGGAAACUAGUAUUAUGUCGUCGGCGUAAAGGAAAAUGUGUACGUUUGUGGGGAGGGAUAGUAAUAGGGAUUCGAUGCUUAUAAGGAAGAGGGUGGGAGACAAAGAAGACCCUUGCGGAACUCCGUUCUCUAGAGGGAAAGGGCGGGAAGUGUACGAGCCUAGCAGGAUUUUAAAUGUCCGAUCGGUUAGGAAUUGUUGCAGAAAUGCCGUUAAGCGGCCACCUAUGCCCCAUUUUGCCAAUUGAUCUAAUAUGUAAUAUCGCCAGGUGCGGUCAAAGGCCUUUGACAGGUCAAUGAUUGCGCAGAUAAUGUGUUUUCCUUUGUUCCUUGCUGUAGAGAAACACUGCUCUAAUGCCGCAAGGUAUGUUUCCAUACUCUUGCCGGGUCGAAAGGCGUGUUGGUGUUUGUUGAGGAGUUUACGGUCUUCGAGCUUCGUAAUGAGUCUCCGGUUGACCAUUUUCUCCAUCACCUUGCAGGUGCAAGGGAGUAGAGAGAUGGGCCGGUAGCUAUUGGCACUAUUGCUGGGUUGAUUAGGUUUGGGGAUAGGCACUAUCAGACUAUUUUUCCAUUCUGAUGGGAUGUUUCCGGUGGUCCAGAUAUUGUUGUAAAUAGCGAGCAAACGGUAAUGAGCAAUGAGAGGUAGAUUUUUGAGCAAAGGGUAGCCGAUAUUGUCGGCACCGGCAGAGUUUCCCUGGCAGCUGUUAAGUGCCCAGUGGAGCUCUCUUAUGGAAAACAGUUGAUUGUACGAUUUGUGGUUUGUGUCAGGAAAAGAGAUCGGAAGGUUGGACUCGGUAUUUAUUUUGUGAGCUAUGAAACUGGUAGAGUAGUUUUUGGUGGCUGAGGAGUUGUAGAAGUGAUUGCCGAGUGUUUGGGCAAUUUCGGGUGUGGAUGUAAUUGGUUGGUUGUUUUCGAUCAAAGUGAAGGUAGAGGAUGGUUUUUUCCCAGACAUGUAGUUUAUCUGUCCCCAGACCUGUUUGAGUGUACUGGAUGUCUUGAUACUGUGCGCCAAGCUAGUCCAACCGGAGGCCUUAGCCUCCUGGAUGGCUCGCUUAGCUUUGGAGUUGGCUAUGCGAUAUAGGCUGGCUAGAUGAGGUGUGAUGGGGUUGUUGGGAAUACGAGUGCUUCGCCGCAGUUUGCGAAGGGCGGAUCUGCGUUCUUUGAUGGCUAAUUGAACGUUCUUGUUCCACCAGGGUACGGAUUUGCCGGAUUUAAAACCUUUUGUAAUAGGAAUACUGAGUUUGGCUGCUUUUAAGAUUAGGUUGUGGAGCUCGUCUAUUGUCAUGUCGUUGUUGGCCGAGAUGUGUGAGUCUAUUGUUUGCUGGUAUAGCGACCAAUUGGCCUGUUCAUAUUUCCAACGAGGUCGGGAUGUUGGUCUAGCGUCUAUUUGGCUGUGUUGAAUAAAAAUUGGAAAAUGGUCACUGCCGUGAAGGUCGGGGGCUAUGGACAGUUUGAAUUGAGAGCAAAUAUCGUUCGAUACUGCACAGUGGUCUAGAGUGGAUUCCUUUCCAUCAGCGGGAGAAAUGCGAGUGGGUUGCUGAUUUUGAAGCACAUACAUGCUGUUAAGCUCAAAGUAAGCGUACAGCAGUUUACCGCGUGGAGUACACUUAUCGUUGCCCCACGCUGUGUGGGAGCAGUUUAAAUCGCCAAUUAUUAUCUUAGGGUGGUCGGUUUGCAUGGCUACGCUAUUGAGGUCGUUUAUUAGGUAGAGAGAUGAUGAAGGGGGAAUGUAGCUAUUGAUGAUGGUCACUGUGCAGGGAUAUUUUAUUUUCACGGCUAGUACUGGGAGUGGUGAAUUGAUGGGGACGAAUUUGUGGUCGAUUGUUUUUAAAACGCCUAUUGCUAUGUUGUGGUAAAUAUUGUUGAAAUUUUUAAAAUACCAUUGGUAUUGCGUGAAGGAAGUGUUAAAAACAGGUGGAAUAAAUAUUGUUUCUUGGAGUGUGAUUAUAUACGGUUGGUGUUUAGUUACUAAGGUUUGUAAUUCAUCAAUGUUUGAAUUAAGGCUUCUGAUGUUCCAGUUGAGGAUAAGUGGAGAGAUGUUAGCUGUAGAGUUGUUGGUGUUGUGGAAUUUUAAUUAUUCAAAUAAAUAGUGCCAAGUAUCGAGAGCAGAAGUCUAAUUCGAAGCGUUAGGUCAAUAUCUAAAGCCUGUUUUUCGCUUGUUGGAUCUACGUUUUCCCCUUUUGUGCGAUUUUGUUUUCGAUGGUGUACUGUUGUUGCCGUGAGGAAUUUUCUCUUCGCUUGUUGUGUCGACGGUGCUGUAGGAUGAGGAUGAGGGGGAGGCUUUUCGUUUCGGUCCGAUCGGGGUAGAAGUCUUCGAGUCUUUUUGCGUAGCUACGUUUGCGUCCGUGUUCGUGUUGUUGUUCGCGUUAGUGUUGUUUGUGUCGAUGUUCUGUUCCGCGUUAGUUUCCAUGUUUGUGUCAUGGUUCGAGUUCGCGCCAGCGUUGCUGUCGCUGUUCGAGUCCGUGUGAUUCGAGUCGGCGUUUUCGGUGUGCUUGUCCUUGCGUCGGGAUUGGACCUGGCUUUUGAAGAAGUCGCGUUCCUCAAUCAAUUCCUGGAUCUUUGCAAAGGCCGAGUUUAACAUGGUCUUUAGCUUUUCUAUUGUUGCGUCGCGUUCGGCCGGUGCCGUGUCAUUUUGUUGUGGUUGUUGUUGCAGUGGUUGUGGUUGUUGUGGUUGUUGCUGAGCAUUAGCCAGUCGCUUUUGGACGGCGGACUCUUGUACCUGACUGUAUAUUUUGCGCGCUUCUGGGUAGCUGAUACAGUUAUCCACCUUGAUGCGGAUAAUGUUCUGUUCGGCCAGAUAGACCGGGCAGGAGCGGUUCAGGGUAGCGUGAUCUCCUUUGCAGUUUUUGCAUCGGGGUGGGUUGUUGCAAGAUCCAUGCUCCGGCAUUGAGCAGUUCGGGCAGGCUGGAGCAGAAUUGCACCGAGCCGUGGUGUGUCCCACAAUCAAGCAUUUAAAGCAUAUCAUGGGCCGGGGGUAGUAGGGACGCGUGCGCACCGAGAUGCAGCCAACGCGCACCUCCUCCGGAACCGUGACCGAGUCGACACGUAGUAGGUAGGCGUUGGUCGGUUUCACCGCACCGUCCACCUUGCGCAUGAACCGCUUCACCUCCACGAUUUUUGUUCCCUCGAUUUGGGCUAGAAUCUCUUCGUCCGUUAGUCCGUCCAGGUACGGAGUGACCAUCACACACUGUACGGUAUUGCGAGCUCGGUCAGAGGUGAUUUCCACCGGGGUACCAUCGAUCAGUUUCUUGAUCGCAAGCAGUUUGUCGAACUGCUCACGACUGCGUGUUUUCAUGAGAUAUCGCGCGCCCUGGUCCAUCGGCACGCAAGGCUCGAUGGGACCGACGAACGGCGAGAGGCUUUUCUCGAUCAAAAACGCGUUCUUCGGAAUGGCAAAACCCUUCUGGGGCGCCAAAAUCAGAUAGCGCAGUUCGCCGUGUACGUUCGCUGGAUCGAGCCAUUCGGGGGCCUGACGACCCCUUUUAUUCACUGGGGGGGGACCGUGUCCCCACCCGCCUCCACUCGGGCCCGCCAUCUUGCGGGCCUCACUGCACCAAGUCGCACCAAGACGCAAGUUUGCUGUUGUCCGUUGGCACAAAAUAAUCCCCCCACACAAGCACUAGUCUAACAGUCACCAAAAAUAACCGGUACUCACCGCUGGCAAACGGUCACGAGGCAGAAAAUCCACACUCCCUAGGCUCCCAAGCUCCCCGGGUGAUGGCGUCGGUUUGUGGCGUCGGUUGAGCAAUGGCGUCGCAGAAUACUGGGCACGGGAAAUCGCAGCGUGUUCACUCUCCGAAUGCUAGAACACGAUUGAACAGGAUUUGAUGCUUUUUUUUUGGUUGGCACCACGCUUCAAGCCCUUCCCCUCAGUGCGAAUUUUCAAAAAGCCCACGCAAAGCUCCCACUCUCACCCCUCGGUCCACGCGAGAUGCAGCGAUGAUGCGUGCGUGUCCUGCGCAGCACUCUCAGCGCGGCGUGAAGGUGCGAAAGAGACGACGCUAUGGAAGCAUGCAAAAAGCGCCCAGAGCUGGAAGCUUCAAAUGCUUUCGCUGUCGUCGUGGGCAAAGCGCUAGGAUUGAAAACGAUCUAUUUGUAUGCAUAUUUCGAUAAAAGUGAGUAAUUCGCAUUUUACGUUCAUGUAAUUGCAGGCAUUACUAAACCGGUGAUCCACAACGCGCGGACAACGGAUUCCACUGUACCGGGGAACAGUUUCUCGAUUCGACACACCUGUACAGGCCGUACUUUCGGGCGCAGUGACAGCGUACGUCAGUGUUUUGCUGUGCGGUCGGUCGCUAGCUGGAGCAUUUGGAAGGUAAACAUUGGAAAGGAAAGUUUGGAUAAGCUGCAGUGAAGUUGUGCUUGUUUCGAUGGGAAAGAUGAGGCUGUCUGAGCGAAUGGUUCAAAAUAAUCUACUCCCGUACUCGAAGGUGGUGGAUUGCUCACACGACAACGGGUGAGAAAGUGAGACAACGAAACAAGCUGCUGACGGGGCAGCAGUCGUACAAAAGGAAAUAUCUGCAUCUCUUCAUUCGGGACAGUUGCUGCGCGAAAGGACGAAGGCUGUGAAGCAGCUCAAUUCCACAACGGCACGAACGGGUGGUCGUCCCGAGCUGCUGGCCUGCUGAAGCUACCUCAGCGAAUGCCGAACAACAAUCUGCACCUGUACUCGAAAGUGCUGGUGGCUCACACGACAACGGGCGAGAAACGUCCCAUACCUGUGUGUCAACGGCUAGAGUGGGAAUAUCCGGUCACGCUGAACAUGUCCAGCUUAAGCUUCGGCACCGGUCCAAACGAUCAUCUACUCGUCCAGGAGCAGCAACAGCAGCAGCAGCAAGCACCACCGAAUGGGUUCAACGGUUCAACGGUCCACACACGGUAGGAAGUAAGGGACGUAUUUGCCAGAAGGAAAUCAGUGCUGUUCUUCUGGUAGAUGUAUCUUGUUGAAGAAAAGGAAAAUGUUUAUGGGAAAGGUCCCCAAAUGAGCGGUGCGUGUGUGGAGAGAGCAACAGCAAAAGAUGAACAUACAUUAUGUCAAUCCGUAUUGGUGUGAAUGUGUUCCUUGCCCACACGGGGAGGAACGCAAAAUAAAGAAGGCAAUAUGUUUAUAACGAA